CCUACGGGAGGCUGCAGUGGGGAAUAUUGGACAAUGGGCGAAAGCCUGAUCCAGCCAUGCCGCGUGUGUGAAGAAGGCCUUCGGGUUGUAAAGCACUUUCAGUGGGGAAGAAAGCCUUGGGGCUAAUACCCUCGAGGAAGGACAUCACCCACAGAAGAAGCACCGGCUAACUCCGUGCCAGCAGCCGCGGUAAUACGGAGGGUGCGAGCGUUAAUCGGAAUUACUGGGCGGAAAGCGCGCGUAGGCGGUCUGAUAAGCCGGUUGUGAAAGCCCCGGGCUCAACCUGGGAACGGCAUCCGGAACUGUCAGGCUAGAGUGCAGGAGAGGAAGGUAGAAUUCCCGGUGUAGCGGUGAAAUGCGUAGAGAUCGGGAGGAAUACCAGUGGCGAAGGCGGCCUUCUGGACUGACACUGACGCUGAGGUGCGAAAGCGUGGGUAGCAAACAGGAUUAGAUACCCGGGUAGUC
rnacentral:rRNA from 1 species